GUCCUGGCAGUAAACGGUGCACACUUGGUGUGGGGGGAUUCGACCCCUUCCGCGCCGGAGCUAACGCGUUAAGUGUGCCGCCUGGGAAGUACGGUCGCAAGAUUAAAACUCAAAGAAAUUGACGGGGACCCCGCACAAGCGGUGGAGUAUGUGGCUUAAUUCGAUGCAACGCGAAGAACCUUACCUGGUCUUGACAUGCAUUCUGUCGUUUAUGAAAGUAAGCUAGGUUAGCAAUAACCGGUUUGCACAGGUGCUGCAUGGCUGUCGU
rnacentral:rRNA from 1 species